CGGGGAGUAGCGCAGUCUGGUAGCGCACCUGCCUUGGGCGCAGGGGGCCGUCGGUUCAAAUCCGAUCUCCCCGACCA
rnacentral:tRNA from 1 species